AGGCAACUGCAAGCAAGGCUUCAAGUAUCACUGGUGGAAUGGGUAGAUGCAGAGAUGUAUCACCUGAAGGGGAUUUCAGUCCAAUAGAAUUAAUGUUGAGAGACUGAACCUUAUAGAACCAGCGUACGGAUUGGAAAGGGUAUCAGCAGAAGUUCCUGACUGGUCUGGUCCAACUGAUAAUGAUGUUGAUACAAUUGGUGAGCCACUAAAUUUGGUUCCUUCAGAAUAUACAGAUUUCCAUGAACUGAAUUGCUACAAGUUAAAUAAAUUGAGCUUAAUAGGAAUUGGCUUCAAUGUAGAGGGUUGGUAGAAGGCGAGGGCGGCAAUAAUGGAACCAUCUGUGGAAAAUGGCGCAGGAGCUGGAAACAAAUGAAGUUUUGAAGCAACUCAAAUAUGUUGAGAUGUUAAGACCUCGGCUAUUAGCUGAAUGGACAAAAUCAGAUCAGACCAACAACCGCACUUUGCAAGAUGGUAAAGAUGAUACGAGAAAUGCACAGAGCUAGGCUGCACACGGCAAUGGUAAUUUUCCUGGGGUAUCUAUGUACAGCUUGCCUUGAAAAGAUCUUGUAUAUCAGAAAUUCCUUAAAAUUCCAAAGGUCUCGAUUUUGCAACUAGCUGUUCAAGAAGUUCCCAACUCCGAUCCCACUGGUGAAAAAUGUUGUCCCCAAGCUUUGCAUGUCUUCGGGUGACUGAUCAUAGAAGAAGUACAGAAAUUCGACAGCAUUGAACACGUCGGCUUUCCCGAGCAAAACAUACUGCGGCAGCAACCAGAAUAUGUUAAUGAAACUAUUUGUUUAGGCCCUGUAAUUUGAUGCACUCUUAUGACGUGCAUUCUCUACA